rnacentral:rRNA from 1 species
GGCCUUUUGAUUAUAAUUUAAGGUCUAGCCUGCCCAAUGAUAAAAUUUAAUGGCCGCAGUAUAUUGACUGUGCAAAGGUAGCAUAAUCAUUAGUUUUUUAAUUGAAAGCUUGUAUGAAAGGUUUGAUGAAAGAAAAGCUGUCUCUAUUUAAAGUUUUAGAAAUUUAUUUUUAAGUUAAAAAGCUUAAAUUGGUAUUGAAGACGAGAAGACCCUAUAGAGUUUUAUUUAUACAGUAAUAGUUAAAGUUUAGUAUCUAAAAGUUUAUUAUUAUUGUAUGAAUUUAGUUGGGGUGAUUAAAAAAUUUGUAAAACUUUUUUUGUAACUUUACAUUUAUUUAUGAGUUUUUGAUCCUUUUAAAGAUUAAAAGAUAAAAUUACCUUAGGGAUAACAGCGUAAUUUUUUUUAGAGUUCUUAUCGAAGAAAAAGAUUGCGACCUCGAUGUUGGAUUAAAAUUUAAUUUUUGGUGUAGAAGCUAAAAAAUUAGGUCUGUUCGACCUUUAAAUUUUUACAUGAUCUGAGUUUAAACCGGUGUAAG